AAAGACUCAACUACUUUAAUGAAUAAUCUGAUAAAUCCACGAUUCAUAGGAUCGCAACAAACACACCACAAAAGAGAAUUACAUUGGAUAGAACUCCAAGGAGAUCGAGGAGAACAUCAUAUUGAAAAUCAAAGAGAGAGAAGUCAUCUAGGUACUAGCUAUGGACCCGUAGGUAUGUGGUGAACUACUCACGCAUCAUUGGAAGGCAACAAGGAUGAAUGUAGAAUCCCUUCGUGAUCGAUUUCCCCUCCAACAGAGUACCGGAAAAGGCCUCUAGAUGAGAUCGCGAAAGAACAGAAGCUUGCGGCGACAAAAAAAAAUGUUUCAGGUGGCUCUCCCAUAGAUCUUUUGGCCUCCUCCUGAAUGUUCUAGGGUCCCUUUUGGUCUAUAGAAAAUCAUCAUAAAGUUUCAUCGUGUUUGGAUUUCGUUUGGUACCGAUUUCCUGAAAAGCCAAAAAACAAGAAAAAAUCAGCAACUAGCACUGGGCACUGAGUUAAUAGGUUAGUCCCAAAAAAUGAUAUAAAAUGGAAUAUAAGGUAUCUAAGAUUGGUGAUAUAAUAGUAUGAAAAAUCAAAAAUUAUAUAUACGUUGAAGACACAUCAGCAUCCCCAAGCUUAAUUCCUACUAGUCCUCGAGUAGAUAAAUGAUAAAACCAGAAUUUUUGAUGUUGAAUGCUAAUGUCAUGGGUAUCAUGUAAUCUAUUUAUAGUAUAAAUAUUGUGAAAUGAUUAAGUAAUUGAUAUCAACAUAAUAAUAUCCAUGAAUAUAAGAACAUAAUCAUUACUAUUUUAAAAUAUAUGAUGCUCAACGAAUGGUAUCCCUACUCAUUGAAUUAUGUAAGCAUGACAUGACUCCACCUUCACCGUAUAAAUACAAAUCAUGAGCACCCCAGUGUCAAACCAAGCAAUUGUAUCAUACUCCCUCCAUCCCAAAAUAUAAGAGCGUUUUUACACUAGUGUAGUGUCAAAAACGCUCUUAUAUUUUGGGAUAGAGGGAGUACUUUUUAACGUGCUUCAGCAUUUUCAACUCCACUCAAUACAUGAGCGUGAGCCAUUGAUAUUAGCACUAGGAUGGAAUAGAGUGCGGUGGUAUAGACAUAUAGGAGAAGCCAAAAAGGAAGAUAUGAUCGCAUCAACUCGUUGGAUCGUUAGGAAAUGGAGAGGCAUUACAAUCGAUAUCAAUGCGAGGAGUAGGGAUUGUGUCGGUGUCCUAAAUAUGGGGGUAUCCAGCCCUACCUACCUGCGGCCCACCACGUGGCUCCAUCGACGGCCUGGUACGGCCCAGCUUCAACAUCAACAACUCAAGACCCUCGCGAGGGGCCAAGCCUCGCGAGGCGGACAAUGCCAAGACCCCCGAGGGGAUCGACCUCCUCAGGCUGGCUCCCGAGGGACGGAUAGUUCUAUGCAAGGUUUACCUCAUGAGGCUUAGCUGACGUGAUCCAUGACGACCAAGGCCAGGCGGGCGCUGAGCGCAGUUUUCGUCUUUGGUGCAAGGGAGGCAGAUCGCAGGCGUGGAGUCCCGAGGAAUCAGCCAAAGGUUUCCAUUCUGGUGCAACAAGACCAAGACCGCCAAGACGGCAGGACGGAGGUCAUCGACGAGCCCACCACAGCGUCAUGACCAGAGGCUUUUCGCAGGCAAAGACUACUUUUGUCAGGAUAAGCUGUACUACUUGUCCCCUUUCAAAUCCGGCCGUUGUGGGAUCCCUUCCCGCCAACAUUUGGAAAGAGGACCAAGGCCACUAUAAAUAGGACUUAGACACCACCAUAGGGGGGAUGGGAUCCAUUCUCACCCGACCACUUCACCAGCUCUCUUGAGAUCAAGAACACCUCACCUCCUGAGGCCAGCUCAUCCAUUAUACUAGUUCAUCCUCAGCCCUCCAAGGCAAUCCACCAAAACGCUGGAGUAGGGUAUUACACCGCAAGGUGGCCCGAACCAGGAUAAACUGAUGUGUCUCUUUGUCUCUUUGAGCUUGUCGCGCUAGGCCUAGGAGGAUCGUGAGUAAGCAGGCUGGGUAGAUUGAGAUCUCCGCACACACCCCAGAGUUCGAACCUCUCAAGGGUUUGCGGAACCUGUAAUCCGACAUUUGGUGCGCCAGGUAGGGGUGCGUCGGAUCUGCUCUUCCGUCGACCGGUCUCCUGCCACUCCGACACCUCCAUGGCUGACGCAUGUCGAGAUCGCGUCGAGCGUUGGGCCGUAGUCACCGCCCGUGUUGCUCAGAUGGCUCCGGCGGGCGAUGGUUGUGCCCGUCGUGCUCUAUCUCUGGUGGCUAACGCCGCCACGGGCCCUGCCUGCCAUGAGCAGCAAGCUUCAUCGUUGCACCCGUCGGUGCGUCGCGACGGGCGCACCGCUACUCCGUCACUGACCCCAGCAGCUUCAUUCUCCCACGCGCGUCGCGGCCAGGCGGACGCGCAGACCGCUCUGCUUAUGGCUCGAGAGCUCCUUCGCUACCGCCCGGACCUCUACGAGGAGUGGCUCGAGCGGACCGCUGAGCUCGUCAGCGUCGCGCACAGGGGCUCCGUCGAUCUGACUCGCUCACUGCCUUAGCAGCCUCCUACAGCGGGCGACAUGGUGCACGGGGCUCCUCCACCACCUCCGGCCCAGGGCGCCAUCGUUGGGCCAAUGCGCGCAGCACCACGGCGCGACCCGCCGCGCCUUAUGCCAGCUCGAGAGGAUGUGAGCUGCCAGGUGGUGCAGCGACCUCAAGGAGAAGCACGCGUACUUCUAGCACCCCAGCACCAGGCCCGCGUACCGCCGCAGGAGGUGGCGGUGCGCAUGCACCAGGACCAGUUUCCACCCCCUUGACGACCUCCGGUGGCCACUGCAGGAUGCCGCGCGUUCACCCCGGAGCUCCGCAACGUCGUCUGGCCGAGCAAGUUCAAGCCUGACUUGCCUCCACGCUAUGACGGCACCGCCGACCCCGCCGAGUUCCUGCAGCUCUACGAGCUAAGCAUUGAGGCGGCCAGCGGUGACGAGAAGAUCAUGGCAAACUGGUUCCCGAUGGCCCUCAAAGAUGGCGCGCGUUCUUGGCUCCUGAACUUACCCGAGGGGUCAAUUUCUUCCUGGGAAGAGAUGUGCGGCCGCUUCAUCGCCAACUUCCAGGGCACUCGCGACCGUCCGCCGGCCGCGGGUGACCUGCAUCGCAUCAAGCAGCAACCUGGAGAGACCCUGUAGAAGUAUAUCAAGCGCUUCAACAACGUACGCCUCAAGAUUCCCAAGGUGUCGGACGAGGCCAUCAUUUCAGCAUUCACUGAUGGCGUUCGUGAUGUCAAGAUGAAGGAGGAGCUUACUAUCCGUGAGGAUCUCUACACAGCUCUGGAGAUGUUCAACAUGGCGAACAAGUGCGCGAGGCCUGAGGAAGGGCGCCUCUCCCUCCUCGAGCUCCCCGAUGCUGAUCCAAAAGACAAGAAGGCCAAGGCCAAGGACGUGAAGCGUAAGGGGCCGGCCGUGCUUGCGGCCGAACCAGAGACGAAGCGCGGCUACGACCACCCCAAGUCAGCCAAGAGCAACCGGCCAUUCUGCGUCUUCCACAACAUUCACAGCCACAACACCAAUGACUGUUAGGAGCUCAAGGCCCUCCACGAUGAGUGCCUCAGUUAACGCCUCGAGCGCAACGAUCAAGGCUAUGGUCGUGGCAGUGGCCAAGGUGGAGGACGCUGAGACGGACGCGACCACCGUCAGGAGUGGCGGGCAAGCCUCGGGAGGACCGCUAGCAGGGCCAACCUCGUGAGGAUGCCUAGAGGGAGCAGCCUCGUGAGGAGCGCCCUCAGGGCAACGCAGCUCUGCCUCCUCUGCCCCCACCACCAAGAAGGAAUGAAGAUCACCACCAGGACGAGGGGGGUGGGGGCUUCUAGGAGCCUCGAGCCAUCGCCUGCAUCUUGGGCGGCUCAUAGGCCCUGGCUUCCCACCGCGUCUUCAAGCAGUUCGCGCGCGAGGUGAAUGCAGCGCUCCCCAAGCCUGAAGAAACUCACCCUCUCAGGUGGUCCAAGUGCGCCAUCACCUUCAGCUCCUUAGACCAGCCUAAGUGCACGGCCACCGCUGGCGCGCUCCCUAUGCUCUGCUCCCCCAUCAUCAGCAACGUGAUCAUCACCAAGAAUCUUAUCGAUGGCGGAGUAGGGCUCAAUGUUCUAUCUAUUUAGACGUUCAACAGGCUCCAAGUGCCAUACUACCAGCUUCACCCAACCAAGCCAUUUUCAGGAGUGACCGAUGGUUCUACACACCCGAUAGGGCAGGUCCACCUCCGUGUCACCAUCGGCGAGCGCAACAACUACCGCACCGAGCUCAUCGACUUAGACGUUAGUGACAUCUGCCUACCCUACAACACCAUCCUAGGGUACCCAACACUUGCCAAGUUCAUGACAGCUACGCACCACGGCUACAACGUCCUCAAGAUGCCAGGAAGCGGCGGCGUCAUCACAGUCGCAUGCCAAGAGAAGGAUGCGAUGUGCUCUCGAGCGCGCCUUCCAGACUGCAUCGAUCGAGAACCCUGAAGACGAGGGCGGCGCCUGAUACGUCCAUUUUGCAUCAUGCUUUUAUAUCAAUAUUUAUUGCAUUAUGGGCUAUUAUUACACAUUAUAUCUCAAUACUUAUGGCUAUUCUCUCUUAUUUUACAAGGUUUACCAUGAAGAGGGGGAAUGCCGGCAGCUGGAAUUCUGGCUGGAAAAGGAGCAAACGUUGGAAACCUAUUCUGCACAACUCCAAAAUUCCUGAGACUCCACGAAACAACUUUUUGGAUUUAAUAAGAAUUUAUGGGCGAAAGAAAUAGGCCAGGGGGCCCACAUCCUGUCCAUGAGACAGGGGGCAACCCCCCCCCCCCUGUAUGGCGCGGCCUCCUAUCUCGUGGGCCCCCUGGUGGGCCUCCGGCGUCCAUCAUAUGCCAUAUGAAGGGUUUUGUCCUAGGAAAAAUCGUGGGAAAGCUUACGGGACGAAACUCCGCCGCCACGAGGCGGAACCUUGGCGGAAUCAAUCUAGGGCUCUGGCGGAGCUGUUCUGCCAGGGACACUUCCCUCCGGGAGGGGGAAAUCAUCACCAAUGUCAUCAACAACGAUCCUCUCAUCGAGAGGGGGUCAAUCUCCAUCAACAUCUUCACCAGCACCAUCUCCUCUCAAAACCCUAGUUCAUCUCUUGUAUCCAAUCUUGUAUCAAAACCACAAAUUGGUACCUGUGGGUUGCUAGUAGUGUUGAUUACUCCUUGUAGUUGAUGCUAUUUGGUUUACUUGGUGGAAGAUCAUAUGUUCAGAUCCUUUAUGCAUAUUAUUACCCCUCUGAUUAUGAACAUGAAUAUGCUUUGUGAGUAGUUACGUUUGUUCCUGAGGACAUGGGUAAAGUCUGGCUAUUAGUAGUCAUGUGAAUUCGGUAUUCGUUCGAUAUUUUGAUGAGAUGUAUGUUGUCUUUUCCUCUAGUGGUGUUAUGUGAACGUCAACUACAUGACACUUCACCAUUAUUUGGGCCUAGAGGAAGGCAUAGGGAAGUAAUAAGUAGAUGAUGGGUUGCUAGAGUGACAGAAGCUUAAACCCUAAUUUAUGUGUUGCUUCGUUAGGGGUUGAUAUGGACCCAUAUGUUUAAUGGUGUGGUUAGGUUUACCUUAAUACUCCUUUUUGUAGUUGCGGGUGCUUGCAAUAGGGGUUAAUCAUAAGUGGGAUGCUUGUCCAUGUUAGGGCUGUACCCAAGUGCCGAUCCACCCACAUAUCAAAUUAUCAAAGUACCGAACGCGAAUCAUAUGAACGUGAUGAAAACUAGCUUGACGAUAAUUCCCAAUGUGUCCUCGGGAGCUCCUUCUUCAUUAUUAGAAUUUGUCCAGGCUUAUCCUUUGCUACCUAAAGGAUUGGGCCACCUUGCUGCACUUUAUUUAUUAUAUUUACUUUUUCCUCGUUACUAUUUAUCUUAUCACAAAACUAUCUAUCACCUACUAUUUCAGUGCUUGCAGAGAAAACCUUACUGAAAACCGCUUAUCAUUUCCUUCUGCUCCUUGUUGGGUUCGACACUCUUACUUAUCAAAAGGACUAAUAGAUCCCCUAUACUUGUGGGUCAUCAAGACUCUUUUCUGGCGCCACUACCGAGGAGCGUAGUGCUCUUGGUGAGUGGAACUUGGUAAGGAAACAUUUAUAUAGUGUGCUGAAAUUUUCUGUUACUUGUCACUAUGGAAACUAAUCCUUUGAAGGGCUUGUUUGGGGUAUCUUCACCUCAACCAGAAGAGUAAAUAGAUGCUCCUCAACCUACUGAACUUUAUGAAAAUAUUCACUUGAAGAUUCCUUCGGGUAUGAUAGAAAAACUGCUAGCUAAUCCUUUUGCAGGAGACGGAACAUUGCAUCCCGACUUACACCUUAUCUUUGUGGAUGAAGUUUGUGGAUUAUUUAAGCUUGCAGGUAUUCCCGAUGAUGUUGUCAAAAGGAAGGUCUUCCCUUUAUCUUUGAAGGGAGAUGCAAUGACAUGGUAUAGGCUAUGUGAUGAUACGAGAUCUUGGAAUUAUAAGCGAAGUUGGAAUUUCACCAGAAGUUCUAUCCUAUGCACCUUGUUUAUCGUGAUCGUAAUUACAUAUAUAAUUUUUGUCCUUGCGAAGGAGAAAGCAUCGCUCAAGCUUGGGGGAGGCUUAAGUCAAUGUUAUAUACAUGCCCCAAUCAUGAGCUCUCUCGGGAAAUGAUUAUUCGGAAUUUUUAUGCUCGGCUUUCUCUUGAUAAUCGCAACUUGCUCGAUACUUCCUGUGCUGGUUCCUAUAUGCUGAAGACUAUUGAUUUUAAAUAGGACUUAUUGAAAAGAAUUAAACGCAACUCUAAAGAUUUGGGUUCCGACGAUGGUAAGGAGUCAGGUAUGACACCUAAGUUUGAUUGUGUUAAAUCUUUUAUGGAUACCGAUACUUUCCGUGGAUUUAGCUCUAAGUAUGGACUUGACUCUGAGAUAGUAGCUACUUUUUGUGAAACUUUUGCUACUCACAUUGAUCUCCCUAAAGAGAAGUGGUUUAAAUAUAAUCCUCAUGUUGAAGUGAAAGUAGUUGCACCUAUUACAGUCGAAGAAAAGACUAUUACAUAUAGUGACCCUAUUAUUCCUACUGCUUAUGUUGAAAAACCUCCUUUUCCUGUUAGGAUAAAAGAUCAUGCUAAAGCUUCGACUGUUGUUCGUAAGAGUAAUACUAGGACCUAUACACCUCCUGAGCAAAUUAAUGUUGAACCUGGUAUUGCUAUGAUUAAAGAUCUCUUGGAUGAGGACUUAGAUGGGCAUGUUAUCUCUUUCUUGGGUGAAACUGCUAAUAUUGCUAGACCCGAUACUAAGACACGUAGACCUGUUGUAGGCACGCCUUAUGUGAUAUGGGUGCUAGUGCUAGUGCGAUACCUUAUGAUCUUUAUAAAGAAAUUAUGCACGAUAUUGCACCUGUUGAAUUAGAAGACAUUGAUGUUACUAUUAAGCUUGCUAAUAGGGACACCAUUAAACCAAUUGGGAUUGUUAGAGAUGUUGAAGUCUUGUGUGGGAAGAUUAAAUACCCUGCUGAUUUUCUUGUUCUUGGUUCCCCACAAGAUGAUUUUUGUCCCAUUAUUUUUGGUAGACCCUUUUUGAAUACUCCUAGUGCUAAGAUUAAUUGUGAAAAGAAUAUCAUCACUGUUGGCAUAGAUGGUAUGUCUCAUGAGUUCAAUUUUGCUAAGUUUAGUAGACAACCUCGUGAAAGGGAACCACCUAGUAAGGAUGAAAUUAUUGGUCUUGCUUCCAUUGCUAUUCCUCCAACUGAUCCGUUAGUACAAUAUUUGUUAGACCAUGAAAACGAUAUGUUUAUGAAGGAAAGGGAAGAAAUAGAUGAAGUGUUCCUUAAACAAGAACCUGUGAUGAAACAUAACCUUCCCGUUGAAAUUCUUGGGGAUCCCCCUCCACCCAAGGGUGAUCCCGUGUUUGAACUCAAACCCUUACCUGAUAAUCUUAAGUAUGCUUAUCUUGAUGAAAAAGAAAUAUAUCAUGUUAUUAUUAGUGCUAACCUUUCAUAGAAAGAAGAAGAAAGAUUAUUGAAAACUCUGAAGAAGCACAGAGCUUCUAUUGAAUAUACUCUGGAUGAUCUUAAGGGCAUUAGUCCCACGUUAUGUCAACACAAAAUUUUAGUGGAGAAAGAUGCCAAACCAGUUAGAGAUCCUCAAAGACGAUUGAAUCCCAAAAUGAAAGAAGUGGUAAGAAAGGAGAUACUAAAGCUCCUUGAGGCAGGUAUUAUUUAUCUUGUUGCUGAUAGUGAAUGGGUAAGCCUUGUCCAUUGUGUCCUAAAAAGGGAGGUAUUACCGUUGUUCCUAAUGAUAAAGAUGAAUUGAUCCCGCAAAGAAUUAUUACAGGUUAUAGGAUGGUAAUUGAUUUCCGUAAGUUAAAUAAAGCUACUAAGAAAGAUCAUUACCCUUUACCUUUUAUUGAUCAAAUGCUAGAAAGGCUAUCCAAACACACAUAUUUUUGCUUUCUAGAUGGUUAUUCUGGCUUCUCUCAAAUACCUGUGUCAGUAAAGAAUCAAUCUAAAACUACUUUUACUUGCCAUUUUGGUACUUUUGCUUAUAGACGUAUGCCUUUUGGUUUAUGUAAUGCACCUGCUACCUUUCAAAGAUGCAUGAUGGCUAUAUUUUCUGAUUUUUGUGAAAAGAUUUGUGAGGUAUUCAUGGAUGAUUUCUCCGUCUAUGGAUCCUCCUUUGAUGAUUGUUUGAGCAACCUUGAUCGAGUUUUGCAGAGAUGCGAAGACACUAGUCUCAUCCUGAAUUGGGAAAAGUGUCACUUUAUGGUUAAUGAAGGCAUUGUCUUGGGGAACAAGAUCUCCAAGAGAGGUAUUGAAGUUGAUAAAGCCAAAGUUGGUGCUAUUGAAAAGAUGCCAUGUCCCAAGGACAUAAAAGGUAUAAGAAGUUUCCUUGGUCAUGCCGGUUUUUAUAGGAGGUUCAUUAAGGACUUUUCUAAAAUCUCUAGGCCUCUGACUAAUUUAUUGCAAAAAGAUAUUCCUUUUGUCUUUGAUGAUGAUUGUGUAGAAGCAUUUGAAACACUUAAGAAAGCUUUGAUCACUGCACCUAUUAUUCAGCCACCUGAUUGGAAUUUACCUUUUGAAAUUAUGUGCGAUGCUAGUGUUUAUGUUGUAGGUGUUGUUUUAGGGCAAAGAGUCGAUAAGAAAUUGAAUGUUAUCCAGUAUGCUAGUAAGACUCUUGAUACUGCCCAGAGAAAUUAUGCUACUACUGAAAAAGAGUUCUUAGCAGUUGUGUUUGCAUGUGAUAAGUUUAGACUUUAUAUUGUUGAUUCCAAACUUACUAUUCACACUGAUCAUGUUGCUAUUAAAUAUAUUAUGGAAAAUAAAGAUGCUAAGCCUAGACUCAUUAGAUGGGUUCUCGUUCUCCAAGAAUUUGACUUGCAUAUUAUUGAUAGAAAGGGAGCUGAGAACCCCGUUGCAGACAACUUGUCUAGGUUAGAGAAUGUUCUUGAUGACCCACUGCCUAUUAAUGAUAGCUUUCUCGAUGAACAAUUAGCGGUUGUCAAUGCUUCUCGUACUGCUCCUUGGUAUGCUGAUUUUGCUAAUUACAUUGUUGCUAAAUAUAUACCGCCUAGUUUCACAUACCAGCAAAAGAAAAAGUUCUUUUUUGAUUUAAGACAUUACUUCUGCGAUGGUCCACCUUUAUAAGGAAGGAGUAGAUGGUAUUAUUAGACGUUGUGUGCCUGAGCAUGAACAGGAACAAAUCCUACGCAAGUGUCACUCUGAAUCCUAUGGAGGACACCACCCUGGAGAUAGAACUGCACACAAGGUACUACAAUCUGGUUUUUAUUGGCCUACUCUCUUCAAAGAUGCUCGUAAGUUUGUCAUAUCUUGUGAUGAAUGUCAAAGAAUAGGUAACAUUAGUAGACGUCAAGAAAUGCCUAUGAAUUAUUCUCUUGUUAUUGAACCGUUUGAUGUUUGGGGCUUUGAUUAUAUGGGACCUUUUCCUGCCUCCAAUGGUUAUACACAUAUUUUAGGUUCUGUUGAUUACGUUACUAAGUGGGUAGAAGCUAUUCCAACUAGUAGUGCUGAUCAUAACAAUUCUAUUAAAAUGCUUAAAGAAGUUAUUUUUCCGAGGUUUGGGGUCCCUAGAUAUCUUAUGACUGAUGGUGGUUCACAUUUUAUUCAUGGUACUUUCCGUAAGAUGCUCGCUAAGUAUGAUGUUAAUCAUAGAAUAGCAAUCUCCUUAUCAUCCGCAGUCUAGUGGUCAGGUAGAGUUGAGCAAUAGAGAGCUCAUAUUAAUUUUGCAAAAGGCUGUGAAUAGAUCUAGAAAGAAUUGGUCCAAAAAACUUGAUGAUGCAUUAUGGGCCUAUAGAACUGCAUAUAAAAAUCCUAUGGGUAUGUCUCCAUAUAAGAUGGUUUAUGGAAAAGCAUGUCAUUUACUUCUUAAACUUGAACAUAAAGCAUAUUGGGCUAUUAAAGAGCUCAACUAUGAUUUCAAACUUGCCGGUGAGAAAAGGUUAUUUGAUAUUAGCUCACUUGAUGAAUGGAGAACCCAAGCAUACGAAAAUGCCAAGCUCUUCAAAGAAAAAGUCAAACGCUGGCAUGAUAAGAGAAUACAAAAGAGUGAGUUUAACGUAGGAGAUUAUGUGUUAUUAUUCAACUCUCGUUUAAGAUUUUUUGCAGGAAAACUUCUCUCAAAAUGAGAAGGUCCCUACGUUAUCGAGGAGGUCUAUCGUUCUGGUGCCAGAAAAAUCAACAACUUCGAAGGCACAAAUCCGAGAGUGGUAAAUGGUCAAAGAAUUAAACAUUAUAUUUCAGGUAAUUCUAUCAAUGUUGAAACUAAUAUCAUUGAAACCAUAACCCCUGAGGAAUAUAUAAGAGACACGUUCCAGAAUGUUUCAGACUCCGAAAAGGCAUAGGUACGUGGUACGGUAAGUAAACCGACUCCAAAACAACUCUAAUGGCAAUUUUUAUCAGUUUUGGAUUAUUUAAGAAUUUUAGGAAGAAAGAAGUAGUCCNNNNNNNNNNNNNNNNNNNNNNNNNNNNNNNNNNNNNNNNNNNNNNNNNNNNNNNNNNNNNNNNNNNNNNNNNNNNNNNNNNNNNNNNNNNNNNNNNNNNNNNNNNNNNNNNNNNNNNNNNNNNNNNNNNNNNNNNNNNNNNNNNNNNNNNNNNNNNNNNNNNNNNNNNNNNNNNNNNNNNNNNNNNNNNNNNNNNNNNNNNNNNNNNNNNNNNUCGUGGGCACCUCGUGUGCCUCCCGGACUCCGUUUUCUUGUAUGUUACGUAUUUUGGUCGGUAAAAAUUCAUUAUAUAUACUCCCGAAGGUUUUAACUAUAGUAUCACGCAAAUAUCCUCUGUUUUCGUUUCGAGUUGUUCUUGUCACAGAUCAGGAACAAGAUGUCGUCCCAAGAUUCGGAGGGAGAGAGCUACAUGGUUGAUUAUAUCGCAAAUCCAAAGGUAUAUGGGGAUGUGGAACAUUAUGGCUGGACCACAGAGGAAGAAGAAGACUAUGGUCCAAAGGGGAAGGAGGAGACAAGCUCUGAUGAAGAGGACGAUCCACUACCUCAACCUGGUGAUAUGCAUGUGGAGUUCAAGAAGUCAAGCCUCCAUAAGGUCCAAUCUAUCCCAUCACAUUUUUUGCAGGACAGCAAGGCAGCACUAUGCUAAAAGAUAAUAAAACUUGAGCUCGAGAAUGAGAAACUGAGGGAGGAAAAUUUUAGCCUCAUACGCAAGCUAGAGAAGAAAAAUGCAACAACUCCACCGUCAUCAUCACCACCUCCAUCACCUCCGAAGAACUAAUCACAUGGGUAUGGGCACUCCCCUUGGCAACUGCCAAGCUUGGGGGAGGUGCCCCGGUAUCGUAUCACCAUCACACUCCUAUCUUUACCGCUUUAUUUAGUUCAAUCCUUUUAGUAGUAUCUUGAUCUAGUAGUUCGAAGUUUUUGAUAUCAAGUAGUUUUGAGUUUUGCAUUGUGAUCUCCUUAUGUAAUCGAGUCCGUGUGCUAUCUAUAAUAAAGAUUAGUGUUGAGUCAAGGGCUUUGCUAUGUUGUUAUGAUCUUGAGAAAGUAGAAAGAACAAAAGAGUUCAUAUUGAUCUUAUGGAUAGUGAUAACUUCACACAUAGAAAGUAUGAGGCAUAAAAAUUGUUGAGAGUUGAUGAACGUAGCCUUGGUCAUUGUUGCAAUUAAUAGAAAGUGAUAAGGAAAGAGGGGUUCACAUAUAAAUAUAUUAUCUUGGACAUCUUUUAUAAUUGGGAGCACUCAUUAAGUAUGACAUGCUAAAAGAGUUGACGUUGGACAAGGAAGGCAACGUAAUGGUUUAUGUUUUCCAACAUCUCAGUUAAAGUAUAUUGUCAUUGACCUUCCAAACAUGUUGAGCUUGCAUUUACCCCUCAUGCUAGCCAAAUUCCUUGCACCAAGUAGAGAUACUACUUGUGCUUCCAAUUAUCCUUAAACCCAGUUUUGCCACGAGAGUCCACCAUACCUACCUAUGGAGUGAGUAAGAUCCUUCAAGUAAGUUGUCAUUGGUGCAAGCAAUAAAAAUUGCUCUUUAAAUAUGUAUGACUUAUUAGUGCAGAGAAAAUAAACUUUGUACGAACUUGUUGUGGAAGUAAUAAAAGCGACGGACUGCAUAAUAAAGGUCCACAUACAAGGGGCAAUAUAAAGUGACGUUCUUUUGCAUUAAGAUUUCGUGCAUCAACCCUAAACGCGCAUGACACCCUCUGCUUCCCUCUGCGAAGGGCCUAUCUUCUACUUUAUGUUUUUACUUUAUGCUUGAGUCAAGGUGAUCCUCANNNNNNNNNNNNNNNNNNNNNNNNNNNNNNNNNNNNNNNNNNNNNNNNNNNNNNNNNNNNNNNNNNNNNNNNNNNNNNNNNNNNNNNNNNNNNNNNNNNNNNNNNNNNNNNNNNNNNNNNNNNNNNNNNNNNNNNNNNNNNNNNNNNNNNNNNNNNNNNNNNNNNNNNNNNNNNNNNNNNNNNNNNNNNNNNNNNNNNNNNNNNNNNNNNNNNNNNNNNNNNNNNNNNNNNNNNNNNNNNNNNNNNNNNNNNNNNNNNNNNNNNNNNNNNNNNNNNNNNNNNNNNNNNNNNNNNNNNNNNNNNNNNNNNNNNNNNNNNNNNNNNNNNNNNNNNNNNNNNNNNNNNNNNNNNNNNNNNNNNNNNNNNNNNNNNNNNNNNNNNNNNNNNNNNNNNNNNNNNNNNNNNNNNNNNNNNNNNNNNNNNNNNNNNNNNNNNNNNNNNNNNNNNNNNNNNNNNNNNNNNNNNNNNNNNNNNNNNNNNNNNNNNNNNNNNNNNNNNNNNGUUGACAUCGCCUAAAGGUGAAUACGUUGGGAGGCAACACAGUAAGCCCCUAUCUUUCUCAGUGUCCGGUUGAAACUCUAUAACCACAAGUAUUGCGUGAGUGUUAGCAAUUAUAGGAGACUACGAGAUAGUUGAGUAUGUGAGCUUGUUGAAAAACUCUAUUAUUGACUCUUUCUGAUGUUACGAUAAAUUGCAAUUGCUUCAAUGACUGAGAUUAUAGUUUGUUGGUUCCCAAUGAAGUUUUUGAACCAUACUUGAUAUUGUGAAUUGCUUAUUACUUGAGCAUAGGAAAUCAUAUGACAAAAUCUAUAUAUGUUGUUGUUAUUAGAAUGAUCAUGAUGCCCUCAUGUCCGUAUUUUAUUUUUAUCGACACCUCUAUCUCUAAACAUGUGGACAUAUUUUUCGAUUUCGGCUUCCGCUUAAGGACAAGCGAGGUCUAAGCUUGGGGGGUUGAUACGUCCAUUUUGCAUCAUGCUUUUAUAUCAAUAUUUAUUGCAUUAUGGGCUGUUAUUACACAUUAUAUAUCAAUACUUAUGGCUAUUCUCUCUUAUUUUACAAGGUUUACCAUGAAGAGGGGGAAUACCGGCAGCUGGAAUUCUGGCUGGAAAAGGAGCAAGCGUUGGAAACCUAUUCUGCACAACUCCAAAAGUGCUGAGACUCCACGAAACAACUUUUUGGAUUUAAUAAGAAUUUAUGGGCGAAAGAAAUAGGCCAGGGGUCCCACACCCUGUCCACGAGACAGGGGACACCCCCCUGUAGGGCGCGGCCUCCUAUCUCAUGGGCCCCCUGGUGGGCCUCCGGCGUCCAUCUUCUGCUAUAUGAAGGGUUUUGUCCUGGAAAAAAUCGUGGGAAAGCUUAAGGGACGAAACUCCGGCGCCACGAGGCGGAACCUUGGCGGAAUCAAUCUAGGGCUCUGGCGGAGCUGUUCUGCCGGGGACACUUCCCUCCGGGAGGGGGAAAUCAUCACCAACGUCAUCACCAACGAUCCUCUCAUCGAGAGGGGGUCAAUCUCCAUCAACAUCUUCACCAGCACCAUCUCCUCUCAAAACCCUAGUUCAUCUCUUGUAUCCAAUCUUGUAUCAAAACCACAAAUUGGUACCUGUAGGUUGCUAGUAGUGUUGAUUACUCCUUGUAGUUGAUGCUAUUUGGUUUACUUGGUGGAAGAUCAUAUGUUCAGAUCCUUUAUGCAUAUUAUUACCCCUAUGAUAAUGAACAUGAAUAUGCUUUGUGAGUAGUUACGUUUGUUCCUGAGGACAUGGGUAAAGUCUGGCUAUUAGUAGUCAUGUGAAUUUGGUAUUCGUUCGAUAUUUUGAUGAGAUGUAUGUUGUCUUUUCCUCUAGUGGUGUUAUGUGAAUGUCGACUACAUGACACUUCACCAUUAUUUGGGCCUAGAGGAAGGCAUAGGGAAGUAAUAAGUAGAUGAUGGGUUGCUAGAGUGACAGAAGCUUAAACCCUAAUUUAUGUGUUGCUUUGUUAGGGGUUGAUAUGGACCUAUAUGUUUAAUGUUGUGGUUAGGUUUACCUUAAUACUCUUUUUUCUAGUUGCGGAUGCUUGCAAUAGGGGUUAAUCAUAAAUCGGAUGCUUGUCCAUGUUAGGGCAGUACCCAAGUGCCGGUCCACCCACAUAUCAAAUUAUCAAAGUACCGAACGCGAAUCAUAUGAACGUGAUGAAAACUAGCUUGACGAUAAUUCCCAAUGUGUCCUCAGGAGCUCCUUCUUCAUUAUUAGAAUUUGUCCAGGCUUAUCCUUUGCUACCUAAAGGAUUGGGCCACCUUGCUGCACUUUAUUUAUUAUAUUUACUUUUUGCUCAUUACUAUUUAUCUUAUCACAAAACUAUCUAUCACCUAUUAUUUCAGUGCUUGCAGAGAAAACCUUACAAAAACCGCUUAUCAUUUCCUUCUGCUCCUCGUUGGGUUCGACACUCUUACUUAUCGAAAGGACUACGAUAGAUCCCAUAUACUUGUGGGUCAUCAGCGCCCUCCCUCCUGAGGUCGCCCCCAAGACGAAGAAGCUGCAGCUGGGACAGGGGUCUCGUGAAGGAGCAUCUCGAGGACGCUGCGCUGAGCCUCGCGUCCCCGGACGCGGCAACUUCACCCAUCGCAUAGGAAGGCAUGCCCGGCGCCCCUCUUAGGCUGGGCUCGGGGGCUCUCCUCGGGAGGGCCUCAGACCUAGCCAGGGUCACGAGGGAGGCGCUCGGGCACCAUUUGGAGGUGCUCUUCAGAGCACGCUUCCCAGGAGAAGGCGGCAGGCAGGAGGCCCCAGGUAGUCAGGAGUUCAUCAGCAAGGCAAUCGAGGAGAUUCAAGAAGAAAGGGUCCUGCAAGGCGAUCGCCGCCUACCGCGCGGUGCAGCUCACUGCCCUGGCGAGGGUAAGGAGUUCCGUGUCUGCAUCGACAUCCCCGGGCUCAACAGGGCCGCGUCUCGGCAGCUCAUCUGACCGUCUCAUGUCGGCCGAUGCGGGGGUCCACCGCACAGCUACGUCUGCAUGCCCUUCGGCCUGCCGGGCACGGCUGUGGUGUUCCAGCGCUGCAUGAGGAACGCCCUGGCGGCUCAUGAGGCUAGACAUCAGGCGAUCCUGGUGGAGAUGGAGGAGCACCUUCAGGAGCCUCCCGGGCCCUCUGAGCCUCCCGAGGCUCGGCACUGGAGCGGCUCAUGAGGAAUGACUCCAGCGGCGCGCAUUUUUUGGCUACUUCAACACCUCUUCAGCGACGGUACCAGGUGCAUCUCUCUAGUUCCUUCAGUCUGGGGGCGCCCCUCAGGCUGCGUCAUCCCCAGGCCGUGUGGGUCCAGCCCUACGGUGUAUCGUUUUGCAUUCGCCAGGACUAUCUAACCAUUUCUGUGAGUUUACCUGUGAUUGCCACCUUAUGACCACGAGUCUUAGCCGCCUCGCGGCCUCCCAUGCGUUCGCUGGCUUGCACCUCCCCCGCAUCGCUGCAUGACAACUCACGUAGGCACGGCGCUUGUGCUCGGGUCCGUCCCUGCAACGCUAAUAAACCCGAGGAUCGAGCUCUGGUUCGUGACCCGCCUCGCGCACACCACCUCGCCAGGUCCUUGGUGCCUCUCUCCUAUGCCCUGGGUCUUGGGCAGCAGGCCCGCUCUGCUGGGCCCUUGGUCUUUUUUGUCACCUAACAUGCAGGCUCAUCCAGCAGUGGUCCGUGGGUCGGCUUGGAUGACCGCCUCCUGGCCUCGCAAGUCACUUGCGCGUUAAAGGGGGGGCUCCCGAGCAUCGUGCCUCGGGAGUUCCCACUGGCACUCCAGCCCUCACCCCCUAGCCUUGACCACGGCAUCGCGACCUGGCAUACCAGCAGCGGCUGAGCUCGCUCGAGGGCCGGGUCCCGAGGACGUAGGCACCUAGGCAAGCGAGGUAGGAAGGUGGUCGUUGCAGGCUACGCCGAACGGCACCACAAGCGCAGGGGCAAGCACCAUCUCCACUAGUGGACCAAGACACCAAAAGAUAAGUCCUGAUCCACUGCGGCACCAGCUUCGCUCCCCGCACACCCCGCCUCGCAGUUCCAUUUUGGCAGUUCCACUCCCCUUAUUGAUUCUCUGGGCAGCUGCUUGCAUGCCAAGGGUGACCUCAUGAGCAUCGCGUCUCAUGAGCUCUUACCGGACCUCGGGCCGCUCACCUCCUAGCCUUGAUCACGACAUCGCGACCUGGCAUACUAGCGACGGCUGAAGCCUGCCUGAGGACUGGGUCCUGUCGGCGUAGAGCGUCGCGCUGCCUAAGGAAAAGAAAAGGGAGGAACCUUACCGAACAGGGAUACGUGAAUUCAUCACAAAAUCAAAAGGAAGCAACGCUGGUAGUAAGUAUACUUCGAUCCUUACAAACCCCACGAGGGAUGAUCUUCAUUCCGCGCAGGGAAAACAAAAGAAAGAAGGCAUCUACUAAGCCCUAGAACAUCUCUGGCGACGCCGGGCGACAGCCGCUGCUGCACUCCGACUCCGGCGGGAGCUAGGCGGCACGUAGCUGUUGUCACUCGACUCCGGAGACUCAAUGGGCUCAGAAGAGUCACUGGAUUCCCAGGAGUCGCCGCUACUGCUGGAUGAGGUGCCCGCUGCAGCGUUCCGCAGACUGCUUCCUCCGGGGCAGCAUUCCAGCCAUUUGCCUCCUCAUUGAAGACCUUGAAGAACAAGGUGGCCGCACCGUCAUACUCGAAGUGAAUCACCAGGGCUCCCUCCACGCGGCAAGCCCGGGCGACCUCACCCCAUCCGCGCGUCAUGAAGAUGUCUCCGGGGGCACCACCUCGACUUCAGCUCCGGUGGCCAAGCUGCAACACCCAGUGUGCUGCAGCCACAGCUCAACCGCCCCCCUCGGAGGCAGCUCGUUGGCGAAGAACCGCGGGAGUCAGAUCCAGGUGUCGGGAGGCAUCACCGCCCACACCAUGAACUCGCGCGAGCUACCCUCAGUGUGGGUCUGUGGUGCGGUCGGCAGGGCAAUGGCGGCCCUGCCGUAAUCGCCAGGCGCCACUCAACGGCGCACACUUUCAUCCUGAGCACGGGCAUAUAUGGGGAGGGGGAAUCCAGGCGGAGGCCUCGAUUGCCAAGGCCUGGCCACCUCUCGCCCCACGCCGGCAUCGUGAGGAAGGCGGAGCCGCUUCUUCAGCGGGAGAGGAUAGGGCCCCUCCUUAGGGGCCUUCCCCUUUUCAGCCGCAGAGUACCUUCUGGUCAACGCCAUGGGAAUGAGGUGAAGAAGAGAAGAAGCAGACAAGAGCAAGACGAAGGAGAGAUGGGCGAGGGGCUCUGCCCCUCCCUCGCAUUUAUAGCCAAGGGAGGCCAACCGACAGCCUCCACGACCUCGAGCCAUCAUUAUCUUCUGCAUGCCGCAUCGUCCCGUCAAGUUGAACAGUUGUCGAGGCGGCGUGGGGAAGCGGAGUCGCCCACAUCCCAUCAAUCGCCAUGCGUCAUCAAGACCGCAGACGGUUAGGGCCCGCGGUGCUCCGCACUUGCCCUUUGGCUUCGCCUGGAAGCCAAGUCCGAGCACCCUUGGGCCCGAGGGCUACUGUCGGCGUCCUGGAUAUGGGGGUAUCCAGCCCUGCCUGCCUACGGCCCACCACGUGGCUCCAUCAACGGCCUGGUAUGGCCCAGCUUCAACAUCAACAACUCAAGACCCUCGCGAGGGGCCAAGCCUCGCGAGACGAACGACGCCAAGACCCCCGAGGGGAUCGGCCUCCUCAGGCUGGCUCCCGAGGGGCAAAGAGUUUUACGCAAGGUUUACCUCAUGAGGCUUAGCUAACAUGAGCCAUGACGACCAAGGCCAGGCGGGCGCCAGGUGGGCGCAGAGCGCAGGUUUCCUCUCUGGUGCAAGGGAAGCAGGCCGCGGGCGCAGAGUCCCAAGGAAUCAGCCAAAGGUUUCCAUUCUGGUGCAACUAGACCAAGACCGCCAGGACGACAGGACGGAGGUCAUCGACGAGCCCACCGCAGCGUCACGGCCAGAGGCUUUUCGCAUGCGAAGACUACUUUUGUCAGGAUAAGUUGUACUACUUGUCCCCUUUCAAAUCCGGCCGUUGUGGGAUCCCUUCCCGCCAACAUUUGGGGAGAGGACCAAGGCCACUAUAAAUAGGAUUUAGCCACCACCAUAGGGGGGAAUGGGAUCCAUUCUCACCCGACCACUUCACCAGCUCUCUUGAGUUCAAGAACACCUCACCUCCCGAGGCCAGUUCAUCCACUGUACUAGUUCAUCCUCAGCCCUCCGAGGCAAUCCACCAAAAUGUUGGAGUAGGGUAUUACACCGCAAGGUGGCCCGAACCAGGAUAAACUGUUGUGUCUCUUUGUCUCUUUGAGCUUGUCGCGCUAGGCCUAGGAGGAUCGCGAGUAGGCAGGCUGGGUAGGUUGAGAUCUCCGCACGCACACCAGAGUUUGAACCUCUCAAGGGUUUGCGAAACCCGCAAUCCGACAGAUUGCAAUGCAACAGAUGCACUAAAGCUAUAAGUGUAUGAAAGCUCAACAUGAAAAUAAGCGGGUGUGCAUCCAACUUGCUUGCUCAUGAAGACCUCGACCAUUUGAGGAAGCCCAUCAUUGAAAUAUACAAGCCAGGUUUUAUAAUGAAAAAUUGCCACUAGUGUAUGAAAGUGAUAACUCAGGAGACUCUGUAUAUGAAGAACACGGUGCUACUAUAAAUAACGAUUGUGGAAAAGGAUAGUAGCAUUGCCCCUUCUCUCUUUUUCUCUCAUUUUUUGUUGGCCUCUUUUUUUAUUAAGUUUGGAGUCUCAUCCCGAUUUGUGGGGGAUUCAUUGUCUUCAUCAUCCUUUUCCUCACUGGGACAAUGCUCUAAUAAUGAUGAUUAUCACACUUUUAUUUACUUACAACUCGAUAAACUGAAACAAUAUGACUUUAUAUGAAUGCCUCUGGUAGUGUACCAAAAUGUGCAAAGAUCUAGUGUAACAUGUAUAACAAUGAUGAACGGUGGCAUUGCCACAAAUAUCAUAAAAGAACAUAUGUUUUCCUGGCAAAAAAUUAAAGGCAUGGAUGAUCAGUGUGUUCACUGAAAAAUGUUGAAGAGUUGUUGUUUGGAUGAUCAGUGUGUUUAUUGAAAACUGUUGAAUAGUUGUUGUUUUUAUCAUUAUGUUUCCCUCACAGAAAAAUUAUGACUGGGAUGAUUAGUGUGUUUUGUGAAAACUGUUGAGGAGAUGUUUUUAUACACAAACCUUCGUGGACGGGACCCGUAGUGACUCGCCGUCGUAGUGCCUUGCCAUGAAUAACGAAUAGAUGCCGAACUGCUCACUGGUGAUGAUGUAAUGGAUGUUAACGGUUCCCGACAUGAAUAUAUAGUUGAGGAUAAACAUUUUCUUACGUAAGCACAUCAAGGUUGAACAAUACCUUGGGAUUUUUUCAAUCAUCAAUGUAGGGAACUCUCUUCUCCAUCCAGUAGAUGGCAUGAUUGACUUGUUCAUGGAAUUUGACUCGAUCGGUCAUAAAUCCAAAUGGGCCUGCUUGGGGGUCGAGAACGACAAUCCUUUUCUUCAAAAUAUCUAAGGUAUAACAGCACCAGCCGUAUUGAAGAGUGGUGUGGAAAAUGAAUUGCACUUGAAAUG
rnacentral:lncRNA from 1 species